UUCCUUAAAAAGGAAAAAGGCAUAGUUCGCAUAAAAAGGGUACUCAAAGAACUUGUAUACGCGUUAUAUUCCUUAAAAGGAAAAAGGCAUCGUUAGGGGCUUGGCUAAAACAUUAUCAGAGUUUGCAACGGAAGGCGUAACUGAAAUAAUCAGUGUUUAUAGCGGAAUGCAUAACUGAGAUACAUGUAUGAAGACAUGUAUCCUUUCUGAGCCUACUUUAAGUUCGACAAAAACUCCACUCAGCAACAACACUUCAUCGCCCAUCACAGCUCAACCUGCACAAACAUAAACAUCGAAGGGCUAAGUACAAGAGUACUUAGUGGGCAGUUGCCAAGCAUAUAACAUAACAUCAUUAACAAUUUCACAACAUCGCAUAAGAGGCAUAAGUUUCUUUCAAAUCCUUUGCUCAUUAAACAUUUCCAAAUUCAUAAACAGCAUGAGCGCAUUCUUCAUCAUCAAUCUUCAUUAACAAACAUCGUGUCGUGGAGAAGGCCUUCCCCAACGAACACGGGCAUCGCACCGUGAGGGGGAGCCUCCCUCAGCGGUCACGGCAUCGUACUAUUGAGGGAGGCCUCCCCCAAUAGACGCUGUAACACUGGCAUACUGGCAUCGCGCCGCUAGGGAGGCCUCCCUCAGCGGACACGGGCAUCGCGCCGAGAGGAAAGCCCUCCUCAGCGGACACGGCAUCGUACUGUUGAGGGAGGCCUCCCCCAACAGACGCAAGCAUCAAACAUAAGCAUAAACUUAUCAGCGUAAAGCAUUCAAGCGUAAAUAAGCGUAAUCAAGCGUAAAUUACAUAGGGCGUAAAUAGUAUAAACAACAUAGCGUAAAUCAUUUAACGUGCAUCAUAAUAAAGCUUAACUCAUUUAAGCGUAAUAAAGCAUACCACACUUGAAGAUCCAAUUUGCAUUUUAAAGCAUAACACUUGCAUAGCAUUUUAUUUACGCGUAAGAAAUUGCCCACCUGAUAGCAAAGUUUUGCUAAGGUACUCUAACUCCUUGUGUAGUUCUUACUCUCGCGCUUGACCUU
rnacentral:lncRNA from 1 species